rnacentral:rRNA from 1 species
GGUUAAGCGACUAAGCGUACACGGUGGAUGCCCUGGCAGUCAGAGGCGAUGAAGGGCGUGCUAAUCUGCGAUAAGCGCCGGUAAGGUGAUAUGAACCGUUAUAACCGGCGAUACCCGAAUGGGGAAACCCAGUGUGACUCGUCACACUAUCAUUAACUGAAUCCAUAGGUUAAUGAGGCGAACCGGGGGAACUGAAACAUCUAAGUACCCCGAGGAAAAGAAAUCAACCGAGAUUCCCCCAGUAGCGGCGAGCGAACGGGGAGGAGCCCAGAGCCUGAAUCAGCAUGUGUGUUAGUGGAAGCGUCUGGAAAGGCGCGCGAUACAGGGUGACAGCCCCGUACACAAAAGCGCAUGUGCUGUGAGCUCGAUGAGUAGGGCGGGACACGUGGUAUCCUGUCUGAAUAUGGGGGGACCAUCCUCCAAGGCUAAAUACUCCUGACUGACCGAUAGUGAACCAGUACCGUGAGGGAAAGGCGAAAAGAACCCCGGCGAGGGGAGUGAAAAAGAACCUGAAACCGUGUACGUACAAGCAGUGGGAGCCCCACCACCAAAGCAUUCUCUGGUGUUGAAGGCCCUGCAAAGCAGCAUCGCGGUGGCGGAGCGUCGUUUGCGACGCCCAACACACAAAACAAGCGGUGAGUGCUUUGGGGUGGGGUGACUGCGUACCUUUUGUAUAAUGGGUCAGCGACUUAUAUUCUGUAGCAAGGUUAACCGAAUAGGGGAGCCGGAGGGAAACCGAGUCUUAAUUGGGCGUUAAGUUGCAGGGUAUAGACCCGAAACCCGGUGAUCUAGCCAUGGGCAGGUUGAAGGUUGGGUAACACUAACUGGAGGACCGAACCGACUAAUGUUGAAAAAUUAGCGGAUGACCUGUGGCUGGGGGUGAAAGGCCAAUCAAACCGGGAGAUAGCUGGUUCUCCCCGAAAGCUAUUUAGGUAGCGCCUCGUGAAUUCAUCUCCGGGGGUAGAGCACUGUUUCGGCUAGGGGGCCAUCCCGGCUUACCAACCCGAUGCAAACUGCGAAUACCGGAGAAUGUUAUCACGGGAGACACACGGCGGGUGCUAACGUCCGUCGUGAAGAGGGAAACAACCCAGACCGCCAGCUAAGGUCCCAAAGUCAUGGUUAAGUGGGAAACGAUGUGGGAAGGCCCAGACAGCCAGGAUGUUGGCUUAGAAGCAGCCAUCAUUUAAAGAAAGCGUAAUAGCUCACUGGUCGAGUCGGCCUGCGCGGAAGAUGUAACGGGGCUAAACCAUGCACCGAAGCUGCGGCAGCGACGCUGAUGCGUUGUUGGGUAGGGGAGCGUUCUGUAAGCCUGUGAAGGUGGCCUGUGAGGGUUGCUGGAGGUAUCAGAAGUGCGAAUGCUGACAUAAGUAACGAUAAAGCGGGUGAAAAGCCCGCUCGCCGGAAGACCAAGGGUUCCUGUCCAACGUUAAUCGGGGCAGGGUGAGUCGACCCCUAAGGCGAGGCCGAAAGGCGUAGUCGAUGGGAAACGGGUUAAUAUUCCCGUACUUGGUGUUACUGCGAAGGGGGGACGGAGAAGGCUAUGUUGGCCGGGCGACGGUUGUCCCGGUUUAAGCGUGUAGGUGUGUGUUCCAGGUAAAUCCGGUUCACUUUAACACUGAGGCGUGAUGACGAGGCACUACGGUGCUGAAGCAACAAAUGCCCUGCUUCCAGGAAAAGCCUCUAAGCAUCAGGUAACAUCAAAUCGUACCCCAAACCGACACAGGUGGUCAGGUAGAGAAUACCAAGGCGCUUGAGAGAACUCGGGUGAAGGAACUAGGCAAAAUGGUGCCGUAACUUCGGGAGAAGGCACGCUGACACGUAGGUGAAGUGAUUUACUCACGGAGCUGAAGUCAGUCGAAGAUACCAGCUGGCUGCAACUGUUUAUUAAAAACACAGCACUGUGCAAACACGAAAGUGGACGUAUACGGUGUGACGCCUGCCCGGUGCCGGAAGGUUAAUUGAUGGGGUCAGCGCAAGCGAAGCUCCUGAUCGAAGCCCCGGUAAACGGCGGCCGUAACUAUAACGGUCCUAAGGUAGCGAAAUUCCUUGUCGGGUAAGUUCCGACCUGCACGAAUGGCGUAAUGAUGGCCAGGCUGUCUCCACCCGAGACUCAGUGAAAUUGAACUCGCUGUGAAGAUGCAGUGUACCCGCGGCAAGACGGAAAGACCCCGUGAACCUUUACUAUAGCUUGACACUGAACAUUGAGCCUUGAUGUGUAGGAUAGGUGGGAGGCUUUGAAGUGUGGACGCCAGUCUGCAUGGAGCCGACCUUGAAAUACCACCCUUUAAUGUUUGAUGUUCUAACGUGGACCCGUAAUCCGGGUUGCGGACAGUGUCUGGUGGGUAGUUUGACUGGGGCGGUCUCCUCCUAAAGAGUAACGGAGGAGCACGAAGGUUGGCUAAUCCUGGUCGGACAUCAGGAGGUUAGUGCAAUGGCAUAAGCCAGCUUGACUGCGAGCGUGACGGCGCGAGCAGGUGCGAAAGCAGGUCAUAGUGAUCCGGUGGUUCUGAAUGGAAGGGCCAUCGCUCAACGGAUAAAAGGUACUCCGGGGAUAACAGGCUGAUACCGCCCAAGAGUUCAUAUCGACGGCGGUGUUUGGCACCUCGAUGUCGGCUCAUCACAUCCUGGGGCUGAAGUAGGUCCCAAGGGUAUGGCUGUUCGCCAUUUAAAGUGGUACGCGAGCUGGGUUUAGAACGUCGUGAGACAGUUCGGUCCCUAUCUGCCGUGGGCGCUGGAGAACUGAGGGGGGCUGCUCCUAGUACGAGAGGACCGGAGUGGACGCAUCACUGGUGUUCGGGUUGUCAUGCCAAUGGCACUGCCCGGUAGCUAAAUGCGGAAGAGAUAAGUGCUGAAAGCAUCUAAGCACGAAACUUGCCCCGAGAUGAGUUCUCCCUGAGACUUUAGGUCUCCUGAAGGAACGUUGAAGACGACGACGUUGAUAGGCCGGGUGUGUAAGCGCAGCGAUGCGUUGAGCUAACCGGUACUAAUGAACCGUGAGGCUUAACCUU